CAGCAGCCGCGGUAAUACGGAGGGUGCAAGCGUUAAUCGGAAUUACUGGGCGUAAAGCGCACGCAGGCGGUCUGACAAGUCAGAUGUGAAAUCCCCGGGCUUAACCUGGGAACUGCAUUUGAAACUGUCAGGCUGGAGUCUUGUAGAGGGGGGUAGAAUUCCAGGUGUAGCGGUGAAAUGCGUAGAGAUCUGGAGGAAUACCGGUGGCGAAGGCGGCCUCCUGGACAAAGACUGACGCUCAGGUGCGAAAGCGUGGGGAGCAAACAGGAUUAGAUACCCGUGUAGUCCCUGUCUCUUAUAC
rnacentral:rRNA from 1 species